CAGAGAAAGUGCCCUUCGGGGUAUAUCUCCCUCCCUUUGUUUACAAUACCAUUGUUGCUUUGGCAGGCCCGUCGUUAGACCACUGGCUACUGCUGGUUAGUGCCUGCCAGAGGACCCUAAAAUCUUUGCAAUUUUGUUGUCUGAGCAUUAUAUAUAAUAACUA
rnacentral:misc_RNA from 1 species